CGGGCCCUACGGGGCGCAGCAGUAGGGAAUCUUCCACAAUGGGCGAAAGCCUGAUGGAGCAACGCCGCGUGGGUGAAGAAGGUCUUCGGAUCGUAAACCCCUGUUGUUAGAGAAGAAAGUGCGUGAGAGUAACUGUUCACGUUUCGACGGUAUCUAACCAGAAAGCCACGGCUAACUACGUGCCAGCAGCCGCGGUAAUACGUAGGUGGCAAGCGUUACCCGGAUUUAUUGGGCGUAAAGGGAACGCAGGCGGUCUUUUAAGUCUGAUGUGAAAGCCUUCGGCUUAACCGGUGUAGUGCCUUGGA
rnacentral:rRNA from 1 species